GCUUGUCUCAAAGAUUAAGCCAUGCAUGUCUUAGUGUAAAUAACUCUUAUGAAACUGCGAAUGGCUCAUUAAAUCAGUUAUCAAAUACGUGAUGGUCGCCUACUACAUGGAUAACCGUGGUAAUUCUAGAGCUAAUACAUGCGCCCAGACCCAACUUUUAGGAAGGGUUGUAUUUAUUAGGUACAGAACCAAUGCAAGCUCCGCUUGACCUUUUGGUGAUUCAUGGUAACCGAACGAAUCGCACGGCACCAGCUGGCGAUGGACCAUUUCAGUUUCUGACCUAUCAGCUUCCGACGGUAGGAUAUGGGCCUACCGUGGCAAUGACGGGUAACGGAGAAUUAGGGUUCGAUUCCGGAGAGGGAGCCUGAGAAACGGCUACCACAUCUAAGGAAGGCAGCAGG
rnacentral:rRNA from 1 species